AGGUGAAUGGCAGAGAUAUCGGCUUGUUCUGCCCUGAUGAUGACCAUGAACGCUAUUACGCUGCUGCUGAUCAUUAAUUAGCUCUACACUUGAGCCAACCUGACGGAUUGACUGCAUAUGUGUUAAUGUAAGAUAAUAUCAUUAAAUACCUUCGUUUGACUAGCUUACAAUUGUCGGCAAAUAAUUGUUUCUAAUGAAAACUAUAUAUUUUGACAUGUCUCAGUUGUUGGCAAUUAAUGGCGAAGAAGAGCGAUGACAUGGAACACUGCAAACGAUCGUGACUCUGCGACAAGCAGGGAUGUUUGUUGGCCUUGGCACGGUUCUUAGAAUUCCUUAACAAAGUCAAAGUCACAGACGUGUCGUUGUUGAUAUCUUCAAUACUUGGAUAAUAAGAGUCGAAUCUAGUAUGCUAUCUUGUUUGUGUCUUCUUUCCUUCUAUUGCAAUAAAAAGCGCGUUGAUCACGGCAUUGCCAUUUUCUUGACAACAUGUGCUAGAUCAUAGUUUUUUUCCUGCAAUCAUUGCACAUCAGAUCCAAUCUAAUGUAUCAUUUUAUUAUGUAGUAUCCUUGCCAUCUUUAAGUCCAGUGUUUUGUUCUUUUCAGUUUUUAUUUAAAUUUAUGUAUUAUUGUCCAUCAAGAAAGCGUGCUACAGACGAGUGAGGUGUUUUGGCACCUAGGCUCGUCUGCACCGCGCUGAAUUAAAAAAACAAAUACUAGAAAAAUUCAAAAAUUCCAAUUUUUUUGGCAUGGUAGAUAAUUUGGUGUGUGAUGUCCGCUCCAAAUUUCAAAUCAUUUCGACCCGUUCAGAAGGUGAAUGGCAGAGAUAUCGGCUUGUUCUGCCCUGAUGAUGACCAUGAACGCUAUUACGCUGCUGCUGAUCAUUAAUUAGCUCUACACUUGAGCCAACCUGACGGAUUGACUGCAUGUGUGUUAAUGUAAGAUAAUAUCAUUAAAUACCUUCGUUUGACUAGCUUACAAUUGUCGGCAAAUAAUUGUUUCUAAUGAAAACUAUAUAUUUUGACAUGUCUCAGUUGUUGGCAAUUAAUGGCGAAGAGGAGCGAUGACAUGGAACACUGCAAACGAUCGUGACUCUGCGACAAGCAGGGAUGUUUGUUGGCCUUGGCACGCUUCUUAGAAUUCCUUCAUAAAGUUGAAGUCACAGACGUGUCGUUGUUGAUAUCUUCAAUACUUGGAUAAUAAGAGUCCAAUCUAGUAUGCUAUCUUAUUUGUGUCUUCUUUCCUUCCAUUUGCAAUAAAAAGCGCGUCGAUCACCGCAUUGCCAUUUUCUUGGCAACAUGUGCUAGAUCAUAGUUUUUUUCCUGCAAUCAUUGCACAUCAGAUCCAAUCUAAUGUGUCUUUUUAUUAUGUAGUAUCCUUGUAAUCUUUAAGUCCAGUGUUUCAUUCUUUUCAGUUUUUCUUAAAAU
rnacentral:lncRNA from 1 species